AGUGGGCAGAGGUACUAUCUGCAGAUGCUUUCUCUGCAUUUGAGGUUGCAGGUUUAAAUGACAAGAAGGCUGUCAAAGAAACAGGGAAAAGGUUUCGAGAGACUGUUCUUGCUCUUGGAGGUGGAAAAGCUCCAUUACAGGUCUUCAUUGAAUUUCGAGGACAUGAGCCUUCACCCGAUGCAUUACUCAAGCGUAACAACCUUUUUCCAGUUGCAGCGUAAUGCCAACUCCUAAUGGGCUAUUGGGAGAAUUCCACAAUUAGGAUCAGUUUAUGCAUGAACGCUAUCUCUAGUUUUUAGUUAAGGUGGUCGCAUGAAAACCAUGGAGAAACUGUUGUAGAUAGCAGAAGGCUUGCAGUUGCUGGUAAA